rnacentral:rRNA from 1 species
GAAGGCGACUUUGUAGCUGGUCCAAAAAAAGUUCCUUGGAACAGGACGUCAUAGAGGGUGAGAAUCCCGUGUGGCGAGGAUCCCAGUUAUUUGUAAAGUGCUUUCGACGAGUCGAGUUGUUUGGGAAUGCAGCUCUAAGUGGGUGGUAAAUUCCAUCUAAAGCUAAAUAUUGGCGAGAGACCGAUAGCGAACAAGUACAGUGAUGGAAAGAUGAAAAGAACUUUGAAAAGAGAGUGAAAAAGUACGUGAAAUUGUUGAGAAGGGAAGGGCAUUUGAUCAGACAUGGCGUUUGCUUCGGCUUUCGCUGGGCCAGCAUCAGUUUUAUGGUUGUUUAAAUCCUCGGGAAUGUGGCUUUUUUUCGGGAGAGUGUUAUAGCCCGUGGGAAUACAGCCAGCUGGGACUGAGGAUUGC